GUGAGUACUAUGAGGCCACCACAGAAAGACCACAUUAGGGCAAUGCCCACCUACUCCAGCAGCUCCAUACCAGCAGAGCUACCAGUGUAUGAUUCCAGCCCAAGAGAGCUAUGGUUGCAAGAACCAGAGACACUGUAGGGGGACAGGGCUGCCUGGAGCCAUCAGGGGCCCAAACCCUGCUAGGCAAAGCCGUGGGGGCAACACAGCCAUCUCAAUGGGUCCAGAAGGUCAAUGUCACUGUUCCGAAGCUAGACUUGCAGUUCACUGGGAAGCAUGACACCACAGCACCUCCAGCUGUGGACGCAUCAUGGACAAGCCAGGCUGAGAGGAGAACUUCUCAUUACUUGCAGCACAGCAACAUUGGGUUCAAUGUAUGCCCAUGAAAAACCUCAUUUAAGAGAAUGCCUUGGAAAGGUGCCAAGGUCCCCAAACUAAUUAACUUUCAUCUCUCCUGGCCCUCUGCACCCUCUCUCCAUGAGGAACAUUAAACAUAGAACAUCAGCUUGAGAACACUCUAUUUAAAGCAAAAGUCCUUCUAAAGAUAGCCUUGAACGUCCAUCUAAAUCAUCCUAAGUCCAUUUUCUGGCCCAGAAUCCACAAGGCCAGCGCCCCCGAUGGGCCCUACUAUGGUGGCUUAUAUCCAUAAAGAAUGUC
rnacentral:lncRNA from 1 species